GAGUGAACGCUGGCGGCGUGCUUAACACAUGCAAGUCGAACGAUGAAACCUAGCUUGCUAGGUGGAUUAGUGGCGCACGGGUGAGUAAUAUAUAGUUAAUGUGCCUUGAAGACCGGGAUAGCCAUUGGAAACGAUGAUUAAUACUGGAUAUACCUUCUCUACUUAAGUAGAGUCGGGAAACGUUUUUUCGCUUCAAGAUCAGACUAUAUCCCAUCAGCUUGUUGGUGAGGUAAGAGCUCACCAAGGCAAUGACGGGUAGCGGGUUUGAGAGGAUGAUCCGCCACACUGGUACUGAGACACGGACCAGACUCCUACGGGAGGCAGCAGUGAGGAAUAUUGCACAAUGGGGGAAACCCUGAUGCAGCAACGCCGCGUGGAGGAUGACGCAUUUCGGUGUGUAAACUCCUUUUAU
rnacentral:rRNA from 1 species